CAAUGUUAAAGGUACCACUUCCGUAUUGCAAAUUACAUCGGCCGUUGCUUUAAAAGCCGUUCAAACUUUAAUUAGUAUGUAGCAUCUGCAUUCUUCUUAGGUUUGUAGUCCUACAAUUUUUGGUGCAAAUUGCAACAGUACCUAACAGUAAAGCACUGAAAUGUACAAAUUACAGGUAUCUCUUUUUAUUGUGUUUUUGGCUGUUGGUCUGAGCUAUCAGAGCUAUGUUAAUGUAGCCACUGCCAAACAAUAUGCCCAGGAUCAAAAGUUCUUUGCUCAAGGCUGCAGUGGAUUGACUGCGGAACUGCUCGGGAAACCCUGGAAGGCGGCAAAUUCUUACUCGCAAUCUACUUACAUUGGAGCCAACGGAAGUUACUCAAAAGUGAGUCCCGGUGCCAUUGUCGGAUUUCCUGGUCACGUUGCGGUGUACAUCGGGGAAGCCGGGUGUAAAUUUGUCGAUGUUCCGGCUCCCAAUAGAAAUACCCGUUGUCUUAGCAGCUACGGCGCCCAAAAAGUGUAUAAGUACAAUUACUAAUGGCUUGUUUUUAACCUUGUUGCACUUGCACUGAUGUUUUAUCUGUCUAAAAUUUUUGCACCAAAAGAAUGCAUGGCAGUUUGACUAGUCACCCAUAGUUAAAUGUCAGGUAAUAAAAGGUAUUUUCCAUUUUUGAACGGGUGAUAUUUGAUUUUGGCUUGUCUUUCUGAUUAUCGGUAAAGGCGCAACAGCAAUACUAAACUGACGACUUACGA